rnacentral:rRNA from 1 species
GACGAAGGGGGCUAGCGUUGUUCGGAAUUACUGGGCGUAAAGCGCGCGUAGGCGGUUCUUCAAGUCAGGCGUGAAAGCCCCGGGCUUAACCCGGGAAUAGCGCUUGAUACUGUGGGACUUGAGUCCGGGAGAGGAUAGUGGAAUUCCCAGUGUAGAGGUGAAAUUCGUAGAUAUUGGGAAGAACACCAGUGGCGAAGGGCGGCUAUCUGGACCGGUACUGACGCUGAGGCGCGAAAAGCGUGGGGAGCAAACAGGG